AACGAACGCUGGCGGCAGGCCUAACACAUGCAAGUCGAACGCUGUAGCAAUACAGAGUGGCAGACGGGUGAGUAACGCGUGGGAACCUUCCCAGUGGUGCGGAAUAGCUCAGGGAAACUUGAGGUAAUACCGCAUAAGCCCUUAGGGGGAAAGAUUUAUCGCCAUUGGAUGGGCCCGCGUCGGAUUAGCUAGUUGGUGAGGUAAUGGCUCACCAAGGCAACGAUCCGUAGCUGGUUUGAGAGAAUGACCAGCCACACUGGGACUGAGACACGGCCCAGACUCCUACGGGAGGCAGCAGUGGGGAAUCUUGGACAAUGGGCGCAAGCCUGAUCCAGCCAUGCCGCGUGAGUGACGAAGGCCUUAGGGUUGUAAAGCUCUUUUGCCGGGGACGAAGCGCAAGUGACGGUACCUGCAGAAGAAGCGCCGGCCAACUACGUGCCAGCAGCCGCC
rnacentral:rRNA from 1 species